GGAGAGGUGUCCGAGUGGCUGAAGGAGCACGCUUGGAAAGCGUGUGUGCGGGGUGACUCGUACCGUGGGUUCAAAUCCCAUCCUCUCCGCCA
rnacentral:tRNA from 1 species